rnacentral:misc_RNA from 1 species
GAAAUGCGAUAAGUAAUGUGAAUUACAGAAUUCAGUGAAUCAUCGAAUCUUUGAACGCACAUUGCGCCCGCCAGUACUCUGGCGGGCAUGCCUGUUCGAGCGUCAUUUCAACCAUCAAGCCCCCGGCUUGUGUUGGGGACCUGCGGCUGCCCGCAGGCCCUGAAAAACAGUGGCGGGCUCGCUGUCACACCGAGCGUAGUAGCAUACAUUCUCGCUCAGGGCGUGCUGCGGGUUCCGGCCGUUAAACGACCUUCAUAACCCAAGGUUGACCUCGGAUCAGGUAGGAAGACCCGCUGAACUUAAGC